UACGCAGCACCCCAUCCAGGGCCUCUGCAUCAGUGCCUGGCUCCAAGUUUCUGCCCUGUGUGAGUUCCUGUCCAGACUUCCUUUGGCGAUGAAGAGUAAUGUGGAAGUGUAAGCUGAAUAAACCUUUUUCUCCACAACUUGCUUCUUGGUAAUAAUGUUUUGUGCAGGAAUACAAACCCUGACCAAGGCAGUAAUCCAACAACAUCCAUCUAUGUGCUGGCGAGGCUGAGAUUAUAGCAGUGGCUCAAACUGUGAGGCUGGACACCUUGGCAGUCCUGAUCUGACUCCAAAAGCACGGAAAAUUCCUGGAGAGAGCAGUGGGUCUUCAGUCCAUAGUCAAAGGUGGAAGACCUGGGUUCUGUCCGAUGUCAGCAGCAGAAACAGCGGGGAUAGAAAUCCCUAUCGACAGGACGUGAAGGCCUCCUGAGUUGUUGACAUCACUGUGCCUCCGGGUCAAGUUUUGGUCACUUGGCCAGACUAUGUUGACAUCUCCCUUAUUUGAACUGGGCACAGUGCUACCACCAUGACUGUCACCCGCAGCACCAUGCUACCGAGAGGGAUGUGACUCGAUGUCAGAGAAGGGACACAGGGAGAAUUGAACACCAAGAGUGUGUAAAUAACCAGGAGAAAGUCACCUCCAACUGAGCGGGGAUUGUUCUCUGGCAGUGGAACAGGGAGAGAAGGCUCCACCCUGGCAACUUGAGCUGAUUGCUUG
rnacentral:lncRNA from 1 species